GAUUUUUGAUAGAGACAUCUCAGCCUAACAAAAUAUAGUUGCCGAGUCGUUAAUGAUGAUUCUAUAAAAAUGUUUAUACCUUCGAUCAUUUAAUUCUUCAAUUAGAUCAGGAUAUUUGGGUGUAUCGGACGAAGGAACGAACACGUCACAGGAACAAACAUGGGUAUGUACGGAACUACAGGGGGAUCUGAUCCCCGCAUGGAAGAAAAGGCCGAAAUGAACCAUGUGAAUGACAAGCUUGCAAGUUACAUUCAGAAGGUACGUCAGAUGGGUGUGGGUGAAACAAACUCUGCUGCCUUCAUGGAAACACUUAGAGGCAUGGAAAACGAUGUAAAGAAAAUGAAAUCUAUCUAUGAAAGUGAGCUUGAAAAAUGCAGGCAGAAACUUGAAGACGCGAACCGACAGAAGAAUGCAGCCCUUUCAGAAAUUGAGACAAACAAGAGAGCAGCGAAAGAUUUUGAGGACAGAUUCAAGGCAGAAUGUGAUAAGAAUCGAAAACUGAUGAACGACAUCAAUGGACAUCAGAGACGUAUUUCUGACCUUGAAAGAGAACUUGCCAAUGCCAGAUCGGCAGCACAGGGGCCACAAGCACUGCUAUCGACCACACAGAGUGAUUUGAAUAGGGAGCAUGGCAAAAACAAGCAACUGGCAAGCGAAUUAGACCAAGAAAAGACAAAGAACAAACAGCUGGAGGACAGAGUUAAAACGCUCCAAGAGAAAGUGAAAUUCAAUGAUCAACUUUCAAAUGAAGAGAAGAAGGACGUUUAUAAUCGUCUUGAAGAAGCCAAAAGGGUAAUCAGUGAUUUGGAGGCAAAGAACCGUGAGUUAGAGAAACAGUGCUCUACCCUGCCCUGAGGUUCUGGACAAGUUGAAGAGGAAAACAGAUCAAGAAUUGCAACAGAUUAAGGCUGAUAUGGAGAAUAACAACCAGAAAAAUAAUGAAACCAUCAAGAGGCAGUUGAAUGAUCAGAACAGGACCAAUGAACAGCUCAGGGCAGAUAAUGCUAAAUUGGAAAAGGAAAACCAGAGACUAAUGGCAUUACUGAGAACAUUAGAAGCUCAAGUACAAGAGUUG
rnacentral:misc_RNA from 1 species